CAGUCGCCGCGGUAAUACGAAGGGGGCUAGCGUUGCUCGGAAUGACUGGGCGUAAAGGGCGCGUAGGCGGAUUGUUUAGUUAGGCGUGAAAUUCCUGGGCUUAACCUGGGGACUGCGCUUAAUACAGGCAGUCUAGAGUGAGGAAGAGGGUUGUGGAAUUCCCAGUGUAGAGGUGAAAUUCGUAGAUAUUGGGAAGAACACCGGUGGCGAAGGCGGCAACCUGGUCCUUGACUGACGCUGAGGCGCGAAAGCGUGGGGAGCAAACAGGAUUAGAUACCCCCGUAGUCCCUGUCUCUUAUAA
rnacentral:rRNA from 1 species